AUAGCGAGGAGGCAGCUGCGAACACCUAACAGGUGGUGCGAUAUAAAUCGGGGCCAAAAUUUUAUGUGCAACCGUUGCCGAAGAGCUCAUUUCUAUUUUAACUUUGCAACCACGGACGAGAUAUUUCGCGAUAUUAUUCUUAUGCCACGAACGAGAUAUCUCGCGAAUUUAUUAGGACAAGAGUCAAUUCUAGUGUUAUUCUAUUCAAUAAAGUAUUCAGCUGUUGAUAAAAUUGCACAAACUUUUUUUUAUAUAGAAUAGUAUUCUUUAUUAGUUCGAUAAACGAUAUUCAAAUUCGAUAUUUUAUUUUCGUAAUAUUUUGUGAUAUUUGUUUUAUAAAAUAUCCUGUGCUUGUGAAGUAAUGAAAUUAACAAAGGUACGAAAUUUAUUUUCUAUAGAAAGAGAAACAUUAUUUUCGAAAGAUAGAUCGAAACUUUUAUGUGUUUCCCGCGAGAAUAUGUCUCGAGCGAAAUUAAUGGCGACGUUAUGAAAUGCAAUGAAUUUCAAACAGUUUAAAUCCGAAUUUGAUUGAAAUAUUAGCUGAAAAAAACAAAGUUGAAUCAAAAUCUAAUGAGAAGUCUUGACUAUGCCUCUAUUCAUAUUCAGAUUUCUUCUUGAAAAUAUAAAGUCCCGCUCGACAACUCGUCAGAAAUUAAUUAUGGAAGCAUUGAAUCCUAACCUUCAAGUAUUAUGACAGAGAUUCAACUUUCGUCUAAAUGAAUUCGCUCAAACUAAAUUACAACUGACAAGAAGAUACAAACUCAACUAUAAUUGACUCUUUUAUAACAUAAUAUUUUGAAAAUAUAUGAUAAAACAGUGCAAAAAUAGUGAUAAUACAUGCUAUAUUAAUAAAUUUAGACAAUUCGUGUAGCACGAUACAUAUCAUACUUUUUUUUUUGACACAUUAUUUAUUACUAGCUGUUUAAUAGAUCGUAAAUUCAACAUUAAUAUCAGUAAUUUAUAAAUUUUAACGUUCGGUAAUCGACUGAUGAAAUUUAUUGACUUUUUCCUAAAUCUAUUAUUUUUUCAAAGUUAUUAUAACAAUUUUCAGAUCCUCAAAAAUGAAUCUCGAAACGAAAGUGAAUAUUUUUAGAUUAUUUGUCAAAGUAUUCUAACUAUUUAUUGGACAACACGAUAAUAAAAAUGGAUAUUGAUAAUUCGAAGACGUUUACCUAACCUUACUUUUAUAAUAUAUCGACUCGGAAAGUGAUCAUGAUACAAAUAUUGUUAAUGUGUAUCUAUUUUAUUUUAUUUCACACAUUUUUACCUGACAAUUGAAACUCUUUAAAGAAUUCAGACUUAAACUGAUUGAUUUGUUAUAUAUAUUCGUUUAAUUCACACCCGGUAAGUAAUAUAUUUAACAUUUCUUCAUGAUUUGUAUUAGUUUUAAGUUUUGCUUAACACAAUUUCAGUACAACAUAGAACAAAUUGGCCAUGUUACAGGAGAAUUGACUAUAUUAAUUCACUCUUUCAAUCGUGUACUCCCCGUUGACAUGAUUCCUCAAUUGCGAAAGAGAGCGAGACACGCGAGAAACUAAAUUCGUGUUUCAAGAGAUUCUGCAUUCGAUGAAAGGAGAUGUUCGACUUCUAUGUGGCGAUAGUAGAAACCAAGCCUGAUCAACGGGUUUUGAUGAGAAAUCACAAGACCUAAGUCUGGCGCUUCGGAUUUCUCCGCGGAAAUGUAAAGUAGCAGGUACGAGAUAGGCUGCGUUUUUUUUUUUUUUUAAUCGAUACACGUUCUCUUUUGAUCAACGUAUCCUCCAUUUACAAUUCUAAAGUGUUCAUCUCUUACUUUUUUUUUUCUUUACCAGGUAAUCAAAAAAUUAGUCGAGAAGGAAAUGAUACGUUUUUUUAAUGAGAAUUUGUACUUUCUUAUAACGUCGUUCAUUCACAAAUAAGCAAUGAAACAAAUAAGGAAACGUCUGUAGAAGAAAACACGACGAAUAGAAAUAGAAAAUUACUUGGAUGGAAAAUGAUUAAUCGCGAAACAAAUUUUAAUUAUAUAAAAUGAAAGAGUCUGAACGAAGCCAAUGAACAUACACGAAGGAAUGAAGAAACGUGAGCUACUAAUUGAACGAAAAAUCAUUUCUGACGGAGAAAUUAUGUAACAUGAACUUCUAUUAUACGAACAAUCUGAUUAUGUGAACGUGUUUGUUAUUCAACACGUAUAAAUGAAAAGUUCGACUAUACAAAUAUAAAACAAAUAAUAAAACUUAUAUAUAUCUCAUGAUUGAUAUUACUUCGUAAGAUUAACUAUGUGAGAAAUGGUUAUGCAAUUACGUGUACGCAGUGUUGUUCAAUUUAUCGCGGUUUCCCGCGACUCGAAUCGAGUGGCAAGCAGCUUCCGUAAGAGAGGAAGGCAAAUCUUGCCGCGGUGCGAGUUUUUUGCCAAAUUAAAGUCGUUAGAGGAUAAACGAGAGAGGAGGCUUGCUCGGAACAGGCAAGUGGCAAGAAAUCUUCUUCGUGGAGGGUCUAAUCGAGCGAGGCGCGCGAUCCUACCCAUCGCCUUUCUUCCAAGAAGGAAACGAAAAGAACGGAAUAUCUCGAAGAAAGCAAUUUCUCGGGAAACGCGAAAACGUAGCGGGAUCCCAUUCGUCAAAGUUGAAGCCAACGACAUCGUUGAACAACGGUUCGAAUUUACGAGCUCCACGAAGCGCGAAUAGCGUCAAAGUUGCAGCCUCGACACGCCACCAAGGGUAUAUACACCGAGCAGGAAACUGGACUGUUCCACUGCUCAGCUUCUCCGGUUGAAGAAAUUCUUGGACACUUCCUGCUCUUCGAUCCCCGCCACUGAUACAGGCGUGUUUCACAGGCAACGUUAACCUUGAGGCCAUCCCGAGUUAAUGAGAAAACCGGAGAAAGAACGUUCGGUUUUACCAGAUUGUUUUACCAGUUUUCGCAGGUUGAUUAGAUCCAAGCAUAGAUCGUAAUUAUUCAUCGAGACAAGAAAACAAUUAUAUUUUUCUUUUUUUUGUAGGCAAGGAUAAAUAGCAAUUGAAAAUGUUAUAUAGGGAUGCCAUAAAAGCAAUGAAUAGAUGGAAAUCAAGCAUCACUGUUCACAAAACAAUAUAUCUUUUUCACUUGUUUCAUAUCUCAGGAUGGAGAUAAUUUGACCAAACUAAAACACAAUAUUCAAAAAUUUCAGAGAUAAUUUGACCAAACUAAAGCACAAUAUUCAAGUAUAAUCUAAUCAACCUAUCAUUUUAAAUGUAUUAUAUAGCAUUUGAUGUAUAUAUAUGAUACAUCAAAUACAUAUGAUAUUUGUUAGUUUUACUUGAAAUAUUCGACUUUUUCAUUUCUCUUUUUUUUCUUUUUCAGAAAUUUUGCAAUACCUAUAUAUAUAUACAAACCGCCAUUCAAGAUUCAAGGAUCGUCGUGGAAUCGUUUGCGCUUGAUUUUGUGAACACAAGGUUUAAUAUUUAAAGACGAGGGAAUACUUUCACUAUGUUUGUUUCUCGUAAGUAGCGGCUACGUUAUUAUUUCACCGACGAGCCUUUGGCAUCCGCACGAGAGUUAAAGCGUACUUAGGACCUUGCUUCGUUCCCCUCAAAAAAAGCCAGAUCCUAGGCGUCGACGAUUUCUUCUACUAUGACCCGUCGAAUCUUCGGUUACGAUAUUCAGAAAAUUAUCCAUUUAUUAAGAAAUUGAUUCUCUCUUUCCCUUUUCCAGCAACGGAGGAACGAAGUUCUAACCGAGGCUGAACGCUAGCGCCGUCAACUCCAUAGAAAGUUUCAUACACACUUUCACCGUGGUGGAUUGGCGCGAAGCACGUCAGGGUGUCUUGUUUGGAGCUUUUACGGUUUCGAGAAGAAGGCAAACGCGCGUACCGACCUCUCCCUGUCCCCUUUGCGGUUGAUGCAAGAUCAACGACCCAGGGUCAAGAGGAGGAAGAGGUAGGAGGGCAUGGAGCAGAGCAUCAAGUGCUCGUUGCCCUCCGGUGGUAGCGUGGCGGACCAGGAAAUCGGUGCUGCCAACACCGGGACCGGAGAGCAACGUCUGCAACGUCGUGCAACACAACCUUGUGUAUCCAUCUCGUCCUUUAAGGCAUCCAUUAGCUUCCUAACUACUAAACACACCGCUCGGGUCCGACGACCCCGUCCUGCUUCCUACCCACCGCACCGUCCGGUCUACGAGGAAGAACCUCUUCUUCCACCUCUUCCCUCAGACCUUGCCUUUUUAUUUUCCCUACUCUUCCAUCUUCGUCUGCCCCCUUCUGCCAUUUCAUCCUACUCUUUCCUCCUCCUCCUUCUUCCCUCAUCCUCUUCCACCGUCGUCCUCUUCGUCCCGAUACCGACGUUCGAGGGUCAUCGACAUCCGCGGCUGGAGACAUUGUACGCAACGUUGUUGCUCGGUUAUCGUGGUUGGCCGCGCACCUUGCGCGCGUUAACUUGGUCCGAUCCCCUCGUCGAACCUCACACCUGACGCAUUCAAGAGCAUGGAACGAAGAAUAUACAAAACUUGUAUAUAUAUAUAUACUCUAACGAGAGAAGGAAAUUUCGCAACUGAGAAAUUGCGCGAUCAAGGAUCGUAGAACGAAUCGUAACUGGAACGAAUUUCAUCGGAUCGGUAACGCAACAACGUUGCACAAUGGAGAUUUGCAUUGGAGACCAUUGCAGCGAGUGAGACUCUGGUUAGGCUCUCUGCCUACCUAUCCGCUAAUUUCCUUAAUUGCCAGCCACAGUAUGUAAUUAACGACGACCGUACUCGCUCCGAUUUCCAUGAUAUACGUACCCUCUAAUGAGAUAAAUUUAACCAUCCCUUCGAGGAGGGGAGGGGAGAGAGAAUUAAACAGCUG